CAAUAAGCGGAGGAAAAGAAACUANCAAGGAUUCCCCUAGUAACUGCGAGUGAAGCGGGAAAAGCUCAAAUUUAAAAUCUGNCANCCUUUGGUUGUCCGAGUUGUAAUCUAGAGAAGUGUUAUCCGCGCUGGACCGUGUACAAGUCUCCUGGAAUGGAGCGUCAUAGAGGGUGAGAAUCCCGUCCUUGACACGGACUGCCAGGGCUUUGUGAUGCGCUCUCAAAGAGUCGAGUUGUUUGGGAAUGCAGCUCAAAAUGGGUGGUAAAUUCCAUCUAAAGCUAAAUAUUGGCGAGAGACCGAUAGCGAACAAGUACCGUGAGGGAAAGAUGAAAAGAACUUUGGAAAGAGAGUUAAACAGUACGUGAAAUUGCUGAAAGGGAAACGCUUGAAGUCAGUCGCGUUGUCCAGGGAUCAACCUUGCUUUUGCUUGGUGCACUUUCUGGUUGACGGGUCAGCAUCAAUUUUGACCAUUGGAAAAAGAUCAUGGGGAAUGUGGCAUCUUUUGGAUGUGUUAUAGCCCUUGGUUGCAUACAAUGGUUGGGAUUGAGGAACUCAGCACGCCGCAAGGCCGGGUUUUUAACCACGUACGUGCUUAGGAUGCUGGCAUAAUGGCUUUAAUCGACC
rnacentral:rRNA from 1 species